UCCAGACUCCUACGGGAGGCAGCAGUAGGGAAUCUUUCACAAUGGGCGAAAGCCUGAUGGAGCAACGCCGCGUGCAGGAUGAGGGCCUUCGGGUUGUAAACUGCUUUUAUAAGCGAGAAAUAUGAUGGUAACUUAUGAAUAAGGAUCGGCUAACUACGUGCCAGCAGCCGCGGUCAUACGUAGGAUCCGAGCAUUAUCCGGAGUGACUGGGUGUAAAGGGUGCGUAGACGGAAGAACAAGUUGGUUGUGAAAUCCCUCGGCUCAACUGAGGAACUGCAACCAAAACUAUUCUCCUUGAGUGUCGGAGAGGAAAGUGGAAUUCCUAGUGUAGCGGUGAAAUGCGUAGAUAUUAGGAGGAACACCAGUGGCGAAGGCGACUUUCUGGACGAUAACUGACGUUGAGGCACGAAAGUGUGGGGAGCAAACAGGAUUAGAUACCCCCGUA
rnacentral:rRNA from 1 species